CUGGAAGUAGGUUGAUGGUAUUUAUUUUGAAUGUUCCAGAAAAGUUCAUACCGGCCUUUCAUUUUGUACCCAUAGCUGGGGUCCCAACAAUCACACCAAGGACUAAGCUCAACUGGACUUCCCGGAAACUUCCUUCAAGCAUCCAUAGACUAGCCUACCUUGGAUAUUACCCUCCUUAGUUUCCUCUGGUCUCGUGCUCCCAGACUCCACAUCUCUCUUUCCACCUGGCGGUUCAAUCAUCUACUCCAUUGGUGAUCUACCGGUCCUGUUCUCUUGCCACUACUCAUUCCUGUGAAAAUAAAUCUCUUACAAAUCUG